rnacentral:RNase_P_RNA from 1 species
AGCACAAAACGUUCUAUCGCUGUUUCGGCUUUUGCCGGGAUAGAGGAAAGUCCGGGCAACACAGAGCAUCCUGCUUCCUAACGGGAAGGCGCCGUACCAGCCGGCGACAGCCAGUGCCACAGAGAAUAUACCGCCCGUUUACGGGUAAGGGUGAAAACGUGAGGUAAGAGCUCACGGCUUUUCCGGGCGACCGGGAUUGCGGUAAACCUCAGGAGUUGAAAAACCAAAUAGGUCCUGAAUUUAAAGCUGCUCGCUUUUAUAUGUUGCUUCGGCAACAUGGUCAGGAUGGGUAGGUUGAUAGAGCCUGGCAGCAAUGCCCGGCCCAGAUUAAUGAUAGAAUUGCCUUUAGGCAAACAGAACCCGGCUUAUAGUUUUGUUGCUGGUU